UAGACAUUAUACACAGCAGGGUGACCCACA
rnacentral:piRNA from 1 species